rnacentral:rRNA from 1 species
UACGAAGGGGGCUAGCGUUGUUCGGAAUCACUGGGCGUAAAGCGCACGUAGGCGGACUUUUAAGUCAGAGAUGAAAUCCCAAGGCUCAACCUUGGAACUGCCUUUGAUACUGGGAGUCUUGAGUUCGGGAGAGGUGAGUGGAACUGCGAGUGUAGAGGUGAAAUUCGUAGAUAUUCGCAAGAACACCAGUGGCGAAGGCGGCUCACUGGCCCGAUACUGACGCUGAGGCGCGAAAGCGUGGGGAGCAAACGGG